UACGUAGGUGGCAAGCGUUGUCCGGAAUUAUUGGGCGUAAAGCGCGCGCAGGCGGUCCUUUAAGUCUGAUGUGAAAGCCCACGGCUCAACCGUGGAGGUCAUUGGAAACUGGGGACUUGAGUGCAGGAGAGAAGAGUGGAAUUCCACGUGUAGCGGUGAAAUGCGUUGAUAUUGGAAGGAACGCCGGUGGCGAAAGCGACCUGCUGGACCUCUUCUGACGCUGAUGCGCGAAAGCUAGGGAGCGAACGGG
rnacentral:rRNA from 1 species